UUUCAAGUAACACAUUUAAAUUUUGAGUAAAAGCAUGUGAAACAAAAGAAUGUGAAACACCAAUAUCAAUUAAAAUAUGUGUAAGGUGGUUGUAGAUAGUGUAUGUACCCUAUAUUAUGUUCGGGUUGGCUUCAAUAUUCUGUUGGGUAAGUGUAUAGACUUUGCUUUUGACUGCGAGUCUGGCCUGAUUCUGAUUCUAUGGACAUUUUCUUGCGUAGUGUUGAGUGCAUUCCCAUACACACGACAGGUGUUAUUGAGGCGAUAAUAAGGUCGGUCUCCAUGAUUUUUACCACAGUGCCGAUAAAUUUUAUUGCGUCUUAUUAUCGAAGCUUGGGAAGGAGCU
rnacentral:lncRNA from 1 species